GUCCUGGAAUUCCCUGGGGCUUCCUCAGUUUCCUUCUCCACUCUAAUGGGGUGAAGAGGAGGGCUCCUGACCAAAGGAUCUUUAUGACCUGACCUUCACCUGGGCCACCUCUAAGUAUCCUCUUCUGCCUCUUCUGCCCCUGACACUGUUUGCCCCGACCCCAGGAGCCUAGUCUGCACAGCAACAGGAAGCAGGAUAAAGUAUGAAAAGUCUUCACACAGUGCUGGACAUUCCCGGCCAGAAGAAGUUGGCAGUAAAGCCAACAAUAAUCAUGGCGGCUGCGGCUGGGGAGGGCUUCCCUAGCCCACAAGGCGCCGAGAAGGACCUGCUUCCCUAUCACUAUACCAUCGAAGGGGUGGCAAUGUGUGUCCCUUGCCAGUAGAACAUCUGGCCCAAGCAUUGCUAUAGCAGCUGCCACCAGCAAGGGGCCUGCCUGCCAGGAAGACCAUGGCUGGGGCUCCCGCGGGAAUGGGGGCAGCUACAGCAGGCAGCCAGGGGCCUGGCAUAAGUGUAGCCCUGGCUGGGACUACAACCGGGCAGGUAACAGAGACCACGUCUGCCAGCAGUGGGAGUCUAAUGUUGGCUGGCGCUGCCGGUACAUCCCCAGACUCCGUGAGCAGGGCUUCGGCAGGCAUCAGCAGCCUGACUCUCUCAGGCCACAUGAGCACGGCCUCUGCUGGAGCCCGAAGCAUGGCUGUAGGAGGCCUAGGAAAGUGUAACCCCACCUCGGGCCCGAGCACCCUUUUUUGUUGAACUUGCACAGUGAGGGCUACAUGAGUGAGCGGAAGGGAAGUCAGAGGGUGACCAUGGCCAGCCCCAAGGUGGCCAAAAUACGGAUGUCAUUGAGGAGGCAUGCCCGCCACCAGGAAGGCUGAGCUCGUGGGAAGGCCCAGCUCACAGCUGGGCCAAGAAGAAAGGUGGCAGUGGCCACAGGAGGCCAUCCCGGCAGGCUCUGACUUCCAAGGAGACACAGAAAUCCAGCCACCGGCUCCAGGGAAGCUGCCACAGCCUGUCUUCCCACAAAGCCACCAGCCGCAGUCCCUCUGUAAAGGAUUCCUCGGGAGAGGAGUUGCUUGCCACCUGCUAGUGCUUCCAGGACCUCUGACAAAGGAGGGAUGGAUAAAAGCUCAGCCAAGAAACACCCCUUGUAAGCCACUUUCUGAUUUUCCUCUGUUCUUCCAGCUAAUGCCAUGUUCCAGAAGAUGGGAGGAGGGAGGGGUGAGGGGUGAGGGGGAGGAAGAGACUAAGGCAGAACUAAAGCAGCUGUCUCUCUCAGUGACUCCUCUUUGUCUCCCCAUUACAGCCACUGCCUCAGCUAAGAAACCCAGCCAUAUUGCCUCAUUCUUGGGAGGUUUCUCUCUCUCUAAGCAGAGUGCCAAAAGCACCUCAGUCCUCACAUGGGGGAUACAGCUAAGGCCACUAAAGCCUCAACCACAGAGAUCAACAGGAGCACCAUUGUGGAGAACGUGGAGCAUGUGGAGAUAG
rnacentral:lncRNA from 1 species